rnacentral:rRNA from 1 species
GACGAACGCUGGCGGCGUGCUUAACACAUGCAAGUCGAACGGAAAGGCCCUGCUUUUGUGGGGUGCUCGAGUGGCGAACGGGUGAGUAACACGUGAGUAACCUGCCCUUGACUUUGGGAUAACUUCAGGAAACUGGGGCUAAUACCGGAUAGGAGCUCCUGCUGCAUGGUGGGGGUUGGAAAGUUUCGGCGGUUGGGGAUGGACUCGCGGCUUAUCAGCUUGUUGGUGGGGUAGUGGCUUACCAAGGCUUUGACGGGUAGCCGGCCUGAGAGGGUGACCGGGCACAUUGGGACCGCGAUACGGCCCAGACUCCUACGGGAGGCAGCAGUGGGGAAUAUUGCACAAUGGGCGGGAGCCUGAUGCAGCAACGCCGCGUGCGGGAUGACGGCCUUCGGGUUGUAAACCGCUUUCGCCUGUGACGAAGCGUGAGUGACGGUAAUGGGUAAAGAAGCACCGGCUAACUACGUG